AGUGAACGCUGGCGGUAGGCCUAACACAUGCAAGUCGAACGGCAGCACAGUAAGAGCUUGCUCUUACGGGUGGCGAGUGGCGGACGGGUGAGGAAUACAUCGGAAUCUACUUUUUCGUGGGGGAUAACGUAGGGAAACUUACGCUAAUACCGCAUACGACCUACGGGUGAAAGCAGGGGAUCUUCGGACCUUGCGCGAUUGAAUGAGCCGAUGUCGGAUUAGCUAGUUGGCGGGGUAAAGGCCCACCAAGGCGACGAUCCGUAGCUGGUCUGAGAGGAUGAUAAGCCACACUGGAACUGAGACACGGUCCAGACUCCUACGGGAGGCAGCAGUGGGGAAUAUUGGACAAAGGGCGCAAGCCUGAUCCAGCCAUACCGCGUGGGUGAAGGAGGCCUUCGGGUUGUAAAGCCCUUUUGUUGGGAAAGAAAAGCAGCAGGUUAAUACCCCGCUGUUCUGACGGUACCCAAAGAAUAAGCACCGGCUAACUUCGUG
rnacentral:rRNA from 1 species